rnacentral:rRNA from 1 species
ACGCUCGACACCUACGGGAGCAGCAGGUGGGGAAUAUUGCACAAUGGGGGAAACCCUGAUGCAGCGACGCCGCGUGAGCGAAGAAGUAUUUCGGUAUGUAAAGCUCUAUCAGCAGGGAAGAAACUGACGGUACCUGACUAAGAAGCACCGGCUAAAUACGUACCACGCAGCCGCGGUAAUCUGAGCGGGCUGGCAAGGC